rnacentral:lncRNA from 1 species
GAGACCCUCUUAGGCUAGAGAAUUCCUUUUAGGCGGGAUUUUCUUUUCUCUUUAUCACAAGCGCUUUCUCUCUCUCUCUCUCCAAUCAAAAACCCUAAUUCUCCUUUUCUUCAAUCAUCGCCCUUUUCUUUUCACAAACCCUGUUAUUCUUUGUCUUUCUUCUCCAGCAAAUUUGUUUCACUCAUUCUCUCAUCCAACGUUCUCUGUGUCGAAACCCCAAAAGUUACUCCCACAAAUGUCGAUCUCACACCCGUUUAAGAAUCACACGCAUAUAUGUUUAACCAGUUUUUUACCCGAUUUCUUUAUCAUCGGCUUCACAUUCACAAAACCUAAUGUUUUCAAUCACCAUUUAGCCACAACUAAGUCUCAAUUUUAGGAUAUGUGGAUCUGUGAAUCGGGGCUCGAGACCAAGAAUCAAAGAAAUUGGAGCAAUUUAUCAUUCUGUAAUACUCCCAAAAAACGAAUGGAAAUGGAAAGGAACAGAGCUUCCAUUAACAACACUUUCUAUUCCAUUCUUACUUUUAAAAGGUAGAUUAUCUCCAAUGAUGUUCAGUGUUAUCUUUUUUGUUUGGAUUUUUGCGCUGUGCAGGUUGGGGCGAUGUCUCCCUGUUGGUCCAGGUCAUUUUGGGAUCUCUACAUGGCUACAGGAUUAUUAUUGUUGAAUACAUGAAACAAAAGGAUGCCAAAUCAAUACUCCUACAAUGUAACCAUUGAUUCAUUCGAUGUUCUUGGAAACCUACAGUAUGUUGAACGCUAUGUUCGAUUUACGACUGGUGAGGAGUCCAUUGGAGGAGACGAGUUCAUUUCAGCAUACAAUAUUUAAAGGUGGAUUUAUGCGUCAAAAUAUUUGUAAAGGAUUUUCCACAUGGAACACCUGUCUUGAUAUCCAUUGAUGUAACUAGGAAGAAACAAAACUUGAAGCUUGAUGGAAUCAUUUGCACUGUCAUAACCAUUGGAUGCAAUAGUUAGGAAGGGUGUUGCAACCAUCAUGGUUUCUGACUCUAGCUGGAAUGGAGUCAAAAUGCAUAGAAGCAAAGAACUUAUAACUGGAUUCCUCAAGAACAUUCUCAAAUUCAGACUAAAACUGAUCACCUUUAUGCAUCUUUAAUCACAAGAUUUUACUUUUGUUUACAAAAAUAAAGAAUCUUUAAUGUUUUCUUGAAUGUUUUGAAGGGAUUUGCGAUAUCAGAUUUUCAAGGUAUUGACAAGAUGACCGAUCCACCUCAUGUUAACUACACUUGGUCUAUACAAGAAAGUGUUGGUGCUGGCAUAGACAUGGUCAUGGUUGGGUACAACUACUUUGAGUUUAUCGACGGGCUAACCUAUCUUGUGAACAACAAUUAUAUCCCAGUGAGUCGGAUUGAUGAUGCAGUAAAAAGAAUUUUACGGGUGAAGUUUGUGAUGGGCUGUUUGAAAAUCCGUUAACUGAUUUAAGCAUGGGAAAUACCUUGGAGAACAGGUUAAGACCCAGAACCGGGUAUCAAAAGGCGGGGCAGGUUUCGAACCGAACCGGUUAUAGAAAAACCAUUUUUUAAAGUAACUGUUUUAGUUUUUUUUUUGGAAUUUUCGGUUUUAUAACCGGUUUUUUGUACACCUCUAUCUGGAGCUGGAAGCAAAAUCCUGGGGAUAGAGUCGAAGGAACGGAUUGUGGUAUGCUUUUUGGUAUUUCAGGAUCUCAUUUAGUUUCUAAUUCAUGAGAUUAGUGGUCUUGGCUUCUUGAUGAUUCGGGUACGUUUUUGGUCCGCAUCUUAAAACAAUGAUUUGUACUAAAAAGGUUUGGGCAGCCGGGUAAUGCUAUUCAUUGGAACAAAUGGGUUCCUAUGAAAGUGGGCAUUUUGUCAUUGAAGAAACAGUGAUCUAAUUAGGGAGUUAAUUAGAUUGGUUUAUGUUCCUUUCAUGAGGGUUAAUCUUCUUAAGGAUAUUUGAGCUCCGACUUGGUGAUUUAUCCUGCAAAACAGAACACCGUUAGCUCGUUAAGAGGGGAAUGUGGGGGUUUCCCUCUUAACCAGGCUCCGGCGUGAGAAUAAGCGACUGCUUUGAGAGUAAUUAAGUGUAAAGAGUGAGAGCCAAGGGAAUAGAAUGUUUAACCUGAGGAAUGAAGGUCUCUAUUUAUAGCCAGAGAGGUGUAAGAGGUUGUGGGCUGAUGGGCCUUGGGCCAGAAACGGACAACACAACGAAUAUGCUUAUUGCCUUGCUGGCAUCGACCGCUUAGUGGCUUCUAGAUGCUCGUCGGUGCUGGCGCACCUUGAUUGGAGCCACGUGUCAUUGUUGUCGGCCUUGUUGUCCUUCUGUCAUCAGCAGACGAGUGGAGAUCGUGGGACAGUUGUCCCCGUCUCUUGAUUGGUGCCAUGUAGGCGUCCUUGUGUACUUAUCGUCAGGCGAUCGUGGCGCACGAUUGGACAGAGCCUGCUGGACGUUCAUUGGCUCUUUUUACUGCCACUUGUACCCCGUGUACC